UUUGGUUGUAUUUCGAGCUUUUCCACACUUGGUGGAGGGUUGUAAAAUGUUCCCCGACCCGAAAAGUUCGAAAACUGGAACUUUGGACAAGUCCUGAGAGUUUUUACUCUCGGGGACCGGUCCCUGGAAGGAGAGACCGGUCCCCCCAGUGAGCAGUGUUGAGGCAGCCUGAGGCAACCGGUCCCUGGCAGGCGAGACCGGUUCCCGAAAGCGUCUUCGCAGUGAGAGACCGGUCCCGCGCAGGGAGAGACCGGUUCCCGAACGCUGGUUUUUCGGGUUCGCAGCGAGAGACCGGUCCCUGCUGGGGAGAGACCGGUCCCUCUGGGCGAAAACUGCCCAGUCCGGGCUGAUGUAAUUUUGGGUUUUUGAGGGGCCUAACUGGAUUUUGUUACCUUAGAGGCUAUAGGCAGCCUCUCCUCUCCUCUCACUCUCAUUUUCUCUCAACCCUUUGCAUUCUAGAGAGAGAAGGAGAGAGGGAGAAGGAGAAGAAGGAGAAGAAGAGGAGAAGAGCUUGCUUGGAGCACCAUCUCCUUCCUUAUUUCCCACCUUUGGAGGCUUGGAGCUUGCUUUUGGAGCCUUGUGGUGGAUCAAUCUUCAACCCUAGAAGAUUUUGAGCUUGGAUUGGAGCAUCCUAGAGGUAUGUGGCAAGGUUCCUCCCUCUAGAUCUUAGUUUUGGAGCUUUUUGCUAGUUUUAACCCUAGAAAUGAGAUUUAGGGUUGGUUUUGGGGCUUUUUGACCUAGGGCUUUUGAAGCUUAAUUGAUUGGUUUAGAACCUUCCUAGGGCUUGGAUUGGAAGGGUUCUAGCUCUCUUUUGGAGCUUUGGGAGAGAUUUCUACUCUUGAGGU
rnacentral:lncRNA from 1 species